rnacentral:rRNA from 1 species
GACGAACGCUGGCGGCGUGCCUAAUACAUGCAAGUCGAACGCAGUGGGGACGGGUGAGUAACACGUGGGUAACCUCCCAUCAGAGGGGAUAACACUUGGAAACAGGUGCUAAACCGAUACUGAUGGAUGGACCCGCGGUGCAUUAGCUAGUUGGUGAGGUAACGGCUCACCAAGGCCACGAUGCAUAGCAGCCAAGAGAGGGUGAGCAGCCAAACGGGAAAUGAGAUACGGCCGAGACUCCAGAGGGAGGCAGCAUGAGGGAGUCUUCGGCAAUGGACGAAAGUCUGACAGAGCAACGCCGCGUGAGUGAAGAGGGUUUUCGGAUCGUAAAACUCUGUUGUUGGAAAAGCGGUAUCUAACCAGAAAGCCACGGAUAACUACGUGCCAGCAGCCGCGGUAAUAC